rnacentral:rRNA from 1 species
UACAGAGGGUGCGAGCGUUAAUCGGAAUACUGGGCGUAAAGGUGCGUAGGUGGUUGCAUAAGUUAGGUGUGAAAGUCCUGGCUUAACCUGGGACUGCGCCUAAGACUGUGUAGCUAGAGUACUGUAGAGGGAGGUGGAAUUUCCAGUGUAGCGGUGAAAUGCGUAGAUAUGCGGAGGAACACCGAUGGCGAAGGCAAUCCCCUGGACCUGUACUGACGCUCAUGACACGAAAGCGUGGGGAGCAACAGG